GGGCAGGUACCCAAGUGGCCAAAGGGGACUGACUGUAAAUCAGUUGUCGGACGACUUCGGGGGUUCGAAUCCCUCCCUGCCCA
rnacentral:tRNA from 1 species